AUUUGCUGACAAGGUCAUUGCAUGUCCUAUGUAUAAGCUUUAUCCAGAGGUAGGGUUAGUGUCAUUAUAAAAUAAAAAUGUAAUUAAAUGUAAGUAUUAUAGUGUAUGAGGAUAAUAGCAGACCACGAUAGUUCUUUCGUUUCUUAGCUGCAAAUGCUAAUUAUCAAAUGCUACCAUGAGUAAUUACCUCGUACACAGAAAUAUAGAAAUUUUAUUAUAAUUCCUUAAUUAUCAAUUAAGAAGGAGAGUGUCUAUAUCGCUGACGUUGAAAAAUGCAUAUUCUUUCAUUAUAGUAUCUCUCACUUCAUGUAUUGUCCUCCUUAACAAUAACGAGCAUACGUCAAUUUGUUGUUUGCUGAUUUUUUUUAUCACACAAUCCACUAUUAUGUAUUUAAUUAUAUAUACAGACAAGUGAGUACGAUGUAUUUGGUUUGUCGCGCAUGUCACUAUUAUAUAAUAAGUAUCUAUAUAAACAAAGUGAGUACGAUAUAUUUGAUUUGACGCAUGCGCUAACAUCGUCGGUUACAGAAGAUGAGAUUGUUCUUACUUUACCCUUUUCUCUGCCAUUUGGUUUUAAGUCAAGCAAUCAUAUAUCAUAUUCCACGAUUGAGCAGACUGAUUAUGAAAAGUACACACAGACGUGUUCGAUUAAAACAAAUAUCCGAAAAUCAAGAUUACACUGAAGUCCUGAGAGAUUUCAAGAACAAGAGAAUGUUUUGGAAGCUUUUACAUUACCUCAGAGUGACUGGGAAAUGAAUUUCAAAGACAUUGUUUAUUAUUAUCCUAUUUGAAAAUGCUAUUAAAUGCAAAUUAAAACUAAUACAAUUGUCAUUUUUGUUUCUAGAAGAAGAAUGUU